GUGCUUGCUUUGGCAGCACUUAUAUUAAAAUUGGAAUGAUACAGGGAAGAUUAACAUGACCCUUUUGCAAAGAUGACAUGCAAAUUCAUGAAGCGAUCCAUAUAUUU